rnacentral:rRNA from 1 species
UACGGAGGAUCCGAGCGUUAUCCGGAUUUACUGGGUGUAAAGGGUGCGCAGGCGGACUGGUAAGUCAGUGGUGAAAUCUCGUCGCUUAACGACGAAACUGCCUUUGAUACUAUCAGUCUUGAAUCCGGUAGAGAUCUGUGGAAUUCCGAGUGUAGCAGUGAAAUGUGUAGAUAUUCGGAAGAACACCAGUGGCGAAGGCAGCAGAUUGGGCCGGUAUUGACGCUCAGGCACGAAAGCAUGGGGAUCAAACAGG